GGCCAUAUGGCUUUGUGGUUAAAGCAUCGGACCACCGUAAUUUUGAUAAUCUCUGGUGCCUCCAUCGCGUGGGUUCGAAUCCCACUACGGCCU